AUUGAACGCUGGCGGCAGGCCUAACACAUGCAAGUCGAACGGUAACAGGAAGCAGCUUGCUGCUUCGCUGACGAGUGGCGGACGGGUGAGUAAUGUCUGGGAAACUGCCUGAUGGAGGGGGAUAACUACUGGAAACGGUAGCUAAUACCGCAUAAUGCCGCAAGACCAAAGAGGGGGACCUUAGGGCCUCUUGCCAUCGGAUGUGCCCAGAUGGGAUUAGCUAGUAGGUGGGGUAACGGCUCACCUAGGCGACGAUCCCUAGCUGGUCUGAGAGGAUGACCAGCCACACUGGAACUGAGACACGGUCCAGACUCCUACGGGAGGCAGCAGUGGGGAAUAUUGCACAAUGGGCGCAAGCCUGAUGCAGCCAUGCCGCGUGUAUGAAGAAGGCCUUCGGGUUGUAAAGUACUUUCAGCGGGGAGGAAGGGAGUAAAGUUAAUACCUUUGCUCAUUGACGUUACCCGCAGAAGAAGCACCGGCUAACUCCGUG
rnacentral:rRNA from 1 species